GAAAGACUGUUUCUGUCAUUUGCUAUUAAUUGUGUCUUCAGAGAAGAGUUAAAGCGGGGGAAGUUCACCUGGAUUAUUUAAUAUGAAAAUAAAUGUUUCCAGUUUGGUUUAAAAGAAAGCGACUCCGAAUCGAUAUUAUUUUCUUGCAGUAAAAUGCAAAAUCCAGAAAAAAAAGAACUUAAGUAAGGGGGAAUUGCUUUGCUAGUGUUUGCAGCAAACACUUCUAUCACAGAGGCUUAAACUGUCCUGCUGUCUCUCUGCCCGCCUGUUUGCUGUCUCCAGUCAGCUAGAACAUGCUGACCACUUCCUACUAGUCUCAACAGAGACAUUAAAAUGCCAAAAAAGAAGAAUUUUAUUCUUGCAAGAAAAUGUGUGAAGGGGGAGAGACCCACGCUUGGGCUGCCACCAAGAGAAAACCUUCAGCGUGCUCAGCCCCCUUGCCAGACACCGAAAAGCCACAGAAGAGGACCGGCACCCCGCAGCAAUGAAGACUCAGGAGCCUUCAUCGCAGAGCUUGUGCUUACAAACCUGUGUGCAAAAGCUGAAACGUGGGAAUUCCUGACCGGGAAGCGGGAGGGGGCUGCCAGUUCCUAUCAGCCACCAGCCGUCGGGGCAUGUGCAGAAAAUGCUGAUUUCCUCCAGGACCUUCGCACAUCAGCCUGGGUGAAGCAGCUCAUUAAAAGCAACUAAUUGCUGCAGUCAGUUGUGACAUGAAUUUUUCAAGGUUAAUUUAGCUUAGCACUAAGAGUCCUCCAUUUAUCUCCAAAGAGGGCGAACCGUACCUGCCAGGCAGCCACCCCUAUGCUGCAUCUCCCCUCUGCAGACCCUCCAGAGCCAGGAGAUCCGAUGUGGAGCAUCCUCAGGGACCGCUGCGAGGGAGCGUGGGGGAAACCCGACCCAGGGAAGGCAAAGGUGUGGUACCACAGUGCCGUGCUUGAUGCGUGCACCAGCCUUGCUUUGUCCUGAAUGAUUCCUUCAAGAGUCCUUUCAGCCAUUUGCACAACUUACAGGAACACUGGGGAAAGCAGAGGCUGAAACAUGAAAAGUUCACUAAAACUUCCAGGUUCAACUCCCUGAUCCCAUCGCCCCCUAACCAUAAAGUUUCCAUAAAAAAUUCUCCCCACUGAUGGAUUCCCAGGUGGUAUUAAAGAUGGCAGUAACUCUCUGCUGGGUCUUGCUGGAACUGUUACAGUGCUCGGCGUGGAAUCCUUUUCCGCUCCCUCAAAGAACAAAACAAGACCAGAGAAGGAAGCCAACACCGUGCCUUCUCCGGAGGUGGUGUUUCAGGCUGGGCUGUGGGUGGUUGCACCAGAAUCUGCCCUCCUUUUUGGAAAGUCUGUACUAACCAGGCAGUGCUGGGGGUUUGGUGUGUGGGCCACCAAGAGAUGAGGCCACGCAGGAGCAAUGGGGACCUGUGGCCAUCUGCCCUGGUGGUCACCCACAGCACAUCACCAACCAUGUCCCCCCAGGAGACAACUGCAGAGCCCAACCUUGCCAAAUUCUGGGUGCGGUGGGGCUGAGAGCUGGGUCACUGGGGGCACCCCAAGCCCUGUCACCCCCAAACCUGCCCCCCACCCUUGGAGGAGGUGUGUGGUGCUGAAGGGGAGACCACACUGGGGCUCGCCCCACCUCAGCAAGGGCCUUCUUG
rnacentral:lncRNA from 1 species